GAUGAACGCUGGCGGCGUGCCUAAUACAUGCAAGUCGAGCGAACAGAUGAGGAGCUUGCUCCUCUGACGUUAGCGGCGGACGGGUGAGUAACACGUGGAUAACCUACCUAUAAGACUGGGAUAACUUCGGGAAACCGGAGCUAAUACCGGAUAAUAUAUUGAACCGCAUGGUUCAAUAGUGAAAGACGGUUUUGCUGUCACUUAUAGAUGGAUCCGCGCCGCAUUAGCUAGUUGGUAGGUAACGGCUUACCAAGGCAACGAUGCGUAGCCGACCUGAGAGGGUGAUCGGCCACACUGGAACUGAGACACGGUCCAGACUCCUACGGGAGGCAGCAGUAGGGAAUCUUCCGCAAUGGGCGAAAGCUUGACGGAGCAACGCCGCGUGAGUGAUGAAGGUCUUCGGAUCGUAAAACUCUGUUAUUAGGGAAGAACAAAUGUGUAAGUAACUAUGCACGUCUUGACGGUACCUAAUCAGAAAGCCACGGCUAACUACGUG
rnacentral:rRNA from 1 species